GACGAACGCUGGCGGCGUGCUUAACACAUGCAAGUCGAACGGAAAGGCCCUGCUUUUGUGGGGUGCUCGAGUGGCGAACGGGUGAGUAACACGUGAGUAACCUGCCCUUGACUUUGGGAUAACUUCAGGAAACUGGGGCUAAUACCGGAUAGGAGCUCCUGCUGCAUGGUGGGGGUUGGAAAGUUUCGGCGGUUGGGGAUGGACUCGCGGCUUAUCAGCUUGUUGGUGGGGUAGUGGCUUACCAAGGCUUUGACGGGUAGCCGGCCUGGGAGGGUGACCGGCCACAUUGGGACUGGGAUACGGCCCAGACUCCUACGGGAGGCAGCAGUGGGGAAUAUUGCACAAUGGGCGGAAGCCUGAUGCAGCAACUCCGCGUGCGGGAUGACGGCCUUCGGGUUGUAACCCGCUUUCGCCUGUGACGAAGCGUGAGUGACGGUAAUGUGUAAAUAAGCACCGGCUAACUACGUG
rnacentral:rRNA from 1 species